rnacentral:lncRNA from 1 species
AUCAAUGCUCAGGCCAAGCUUGAGCAUGCGGUGGAUCCUGGUGCCGAAGGUGUUGGGGUCCUCAAGGCUGAAGCCCGAGGUGAGCAGAGAGGUCUCGAAGAGAAGCAUCACCAGGUCCUUCACCGACUUGUCGUUCUUGUCGGCGUCGGCACGCUUGCGGAGCUCGUCCAUGAUGGCGUUCUCAGGGUUGAUCUCCAUGGUCUUCUUGCUAGACAUGUAGCCAGCCAUGCUCGAGUCCCUCAAGGCCUGGGCCUUCAUGAUCCUCUCCAUGUUGGCGGUCCACCCAUACUCACCAGUCACCAGACAGCACGGUGAGUCCACAACACGGUCAGAGACGAUGACCUUCUCCACCUUGUCGCCCAGCACCUCCUUGAUGACCUUGCACAGCCCCUCGAACUUCUCCUUGAGUUCCUCCUGCUUCUUCUUCUCGUCCUCGCUCUCAUCAAGCUUCAGACCCUCCUUGGUGGCAGAGACAAGCUUCUUGCCCUCAAACUCCUUGAGCUGACCAAUGGCAUACUCAUCAAUGGCGUCAACCAUGUAGAUGACCUCAUAGCCCUUCUUCUUCAGCUUCUCAAGGAAGGGAGAGUUCUCCACAGCCUUCUUGCUCUCACCAGUGAUGUAGUAGAUCUCGUUCUGACCCUCCUUCAUCCUGGUUACAUAGUCCUUGAGGCUCGUCAGCUCAUCACCACUCUUGGUGGAGUGGUACCUCAGAAGCUCAGCAAUCUUGGUCCUGUUCUGGGAGUCCUCAUGGAUGCCAAGCUUGAGGUUCUUGGAGAAGGCCUCGUAGAACUUGUUGUAGUCCUCCUUGUUCUCAGCAAUCUCAAAGAAGAGCUCAAUGCACUUCUUGACAAGGUUCUUCCGGAUGACCUUGAGGAUCUUGUUCUGCUGGAGAGUCUCACGGGAGAUGUUCAGGGGAAGGUCCUCUGAAUCAACAAUGCCCUUGACAAAGCUCAGGUACUCAGGGAUCAACUCAUCACAGUUGUCCAUGAUGAAGACACGGCGCACAUACAGCUUGAUGUUGUUGGCCUUCUUCUUGUUGUCGAAGAGGUCGAAGGGGGCCCUCUUGGGAACAAACAGGACAGCCUUGAACUCAAGCUGACCCUCAACAGAGAAGUGCUUGACAGCCAAAUGCUCCUCCCAGUCAUUGGUCAAGCUCUUGUAGAAAGCAGCAUACUCUUCCUUGUUGAUCUCCUCUGGCUUCCUCAUCCAGAUAGGCUUCUGCUUGUUGACCAAGUUCCACUCAUGAGAGACUUCCUUGAUCUUCUUUUUCUUCUUUUCCUUCUCUUCCUUCUCCUCAUCAACAUCCUCAACCUUGCCCUCCUCGGUAUCCUUCUUCUCCUCCUCGUCUUCGUCGUCAGAAAUUUCCUUCUCGGUGGUCUUCUCAGUCCACAGGGAGAUGGGGUAGCUGAUAAACUCGGAGUGCUUCUUAACUAGAUCCUUGAUGCGGCGCUCCUCAAGGUAUUCCAUCUAGAAGAAAAUUGUAACAAAUCAGACAAUGUACAGAAAGCAAGUGCAGACAAAGACACACAAAAGAAAGAUUUAAAGAACAACCAAACAUGCUGCAACCUGCAAUGCUCAAAUUAAAAAUAAACUACAAAAAAGCAGGUAGAAAUUCCAUGCAGAUGCAUAAAUCCAUAAUACUACUUUUAACAGUUCCAUAAAAGUGAUACAAUGCAAACAGAUGUAAUGUUUAAUUGCAAGAGGCCAGAGCCAUAAAUUACUGAAGAUGAACACAAUAUAAGGCAUUCAAUCAUUACUAAUUAAAAGAGAGGGUCAACCAACAAGGAUGAGUUAAUCUGUGCAUUCAUUAUAUAUGAGAGCAUUAGGAUACAGAAAAAACACAUCAAUUCAACAAUUUCACCAUCAAAUCUAAACUAAUACUACCAAUCAUAGUUACAAUGCAUGGGACAACUCACAUUUAUCCUAAGCAGGUUACAUAUGCUACAACCAACACAGAUCUGAAAUGAGCUUGAGUCCAGGAAAGCUAAAAUUACUGGUAUCAAAUUACUACAAAACUAUUCGAAUUCUAACUGGAAGCUGGUUAAGCAAGGCAAGCCUUUCAGAUACAACUGCAUACACAACUAAUCACAUCAGCAUCAAACGUCCACCUAAAUAGACAAGUCAAACUUAUGCAAAACCUAGCUCAUGCAGUGCACAACUAGACACAAGGAAAUACAGUUCAGAACGAGAUUAGCCUAUCUAGCAACCGUUUUAAGCACAAAAUCACAUCAAGACGGACAGCUUCAUAUGUUGCACAAAAUAACAUCAGGUCAAUCACAGUUUAGUUGGCUUGGGACUGCAGAGCCAAGUUGAUCAUGAAACUAACAGAGUUUAGCUUAUGCAGUGCAGACAUUACUGCCACAAAAGCAUGCUACAGUUCAGAUCGGGGACAAGACAAAUAAGCAACCGUCCAAAAGAGCUACAAUACGCACAGAACCACAUCAAGACAUGAAGAGUAAGCCAAUCACAGCAUAUGAGGCUUGGACAGCAUACCUGGUCGUCCUUGAGGUAGAGGACCAUCUUGGUACCCCUGCCAAGCUGCUCCCCAGACGUAUCACGAGUGACGGUGAAGGAGCCACCGGCCUGGGACUCCCACACGUACUGCUCGUCGUCGUUGUGCUUGGUGGUGACGACGACCCUCUCGGCCACAAGGUAGGCGGAGUAGAACCCAACACCGAACUGCCCAAUCAUGGACACGUCGGCGCCGGCGGCAAGAGCCUCCAUGAACUCCUUGGUGCCCGACCUGGCGAUGGUCCCGAGGUUGUUGACGAGGUCCGACUUGGUCAUGCCAAUGCCGCUGUCGACGAUCGUGAGCGUGCUGGUCGCCUUGUCGGGGAUGAUGUGGAUGAAGAGCUCGGGCUGCGCAUCGAGCUUGCUCUUGUCCGUGAGGCUCUCGAACCUGAUCUUGUCCAAGGCCUGCGAAAAACCACAACGGCAUACACACCAUGUCAGCCCGGGAACACGGAUCUGUAACGCAUCUCGCACGCGACGAAUCAAACCGCGGGUCAACGGAUCUGGCUCUCGGCAGCAUAUCUAAAGCCUAGCGUGGUCUCAAAUCUACCAUGCGCUCGGAUGGUUUCGAGCUCGCGGAUCACGGCGCAAAAAAAAAAAAAAAAGAGGACGGAGAAGGGGAUCCGGGGGAACGCUUACAUCGGAGGAGUUGGAGAUGAGCUCGCGGAGAAAGAUCUCCUUGUUGGAGUAGAAGGUGUUGAUGAUGAGCGAGAGGAGCUGGUUGAUCUCGGCCUGGAAGGCGAAGGUCUCGGUCUCCGUCGCCAUGGCUGCGUCCCUGAGCUGCUCGAGGUGGGGAGCGGAGCGGAGAGGAGGAGAAGCGUGCGGGAGGCGGCUAGGGUUAGGAGGGGUUUUGAGAGGACGAGAGGCCGUGGGGGUGGGAGCCUAUUUAUGCGGGUCUCGUGGUUCUCGAAGGUUCCACAUGGGCCUGGAGCUGGAAGCCGGGCGAGGCCGGCGCGCGCACGUUGACGAGUCGCUGCGGGUGGUGGUUGCUCUUGGGCUUUCCCGGCUAGGGUUGGUUGCGGUGAGUUUUGGAACGGUCGUCGGCCUUUGGUCCUUCGCGUGGCCCACCGGGACCGGGAGUUUUCCAUUUAGCCUGCCGAUGACAGAGACCCGUUUGGUAUCUUUGGAUUUGGUUUUGGAAGCCGAAAGAAUCAAAACACAAGGGUUAGCAGUUUAGGUGGUGGAUUCCAAACCUUGUCUCCAAAAAAAAAAAAAAAAAGUUGACUCCAAACCAGUUGAUUAGGUGUUUUCGGCAGAGGAAAGGGAUUACAGUUCCUUGCAAAUCCAUGUGAUUCUCGUCGGUACAAGCAAAUAGCUUACAUUACUCAUUUUUAAACAACAGGUAAAUGUGUUGUUUUUAUUAUUAAAAAUGGAAAGAAAAGAAACAUGUUUAAGUGAAACAUUUUGAAACCCAUUUUUCUACUAUUAAAGGGGAUCUGUCGUCGUGAUGGAUCAACCUCGUUCGAUCCCCCUCCCGUCGUAUGUGCUCCCCUCCCACGUGGGUUUCCACCAAACAAAAAGACGGCCCACUUCCUCCAGAAAGAAAAACUGUCAUCACACCACGUCUCACCCCUAAAAAAAACACGUCUCACGUCUCAUCUCUCCUGAAAAUUUCCCAUCGAUCGAAAGAGAGCCCCAUCGAUCUCUCCCACCUCGUCUCCCUCCUCACAAACCCUCCUCCCUAAUCCCACCUCCCUCACAAGGGUUCCAGCGCGCAGUUGUAUGGAUGGGUCCUAAGCGUCCGGUUGCAUGUUACGCCAGUUCAGAUAACCAUCCUCCACCACUAGCAACACGCACGACGAUGCGAAGGAACAAGUAGAGGGCGAAGAAGUGCCAGCACGCGACGACAACUUUGGCAUGCAUGGGAACCACAUGGGAAAGGUGUGGCACCCCUACACAAGUCUGGCACGCCCGGAGCGAGUGACGCAACAAUGCAUCCAUCAAUAAGACACAGCGUCUCCAUGAGUGUGCGGGACUAGGGUUUUGAGCGCGGCGUCACUUUCGUCGCCGGCGCGGCUCCUCUCCGUCCUUUACCACGGUUGUGCUCCUGGAUGGCGCUCCUGCGCUCGAUGGGCAUGGGGUGCACAUGCGCGUCGGCUUCCUCCGCUCUAUCAUGGUGAGUUCAUCCCCUCCUCCUUCCUCCUCUCUGGUGUGUAUUUGAUUGGGGUGUCCUGUAGUAUCCAUGCCGGUUGGCAAGAGUUUCAGAGUUGUUUGGUUUGGAUGCGUGCAUGCGCUAUUGUCUUCUCUGUCAGCAUGGAGCUGUUGACGUGCGACUAACUUGGCUUGUUCAGCAAGGUGCUUGAUUGAUGGUUAAUGCCAAUCUGUUGCAGCAUAUUCUUGUGGCCUUGACCAAAAUGUCGAUGUUGUACUCUUGUAGAACAUCAUUAAGAGGAUGUGAUCUCAGCCAGAUGAAUUUUGUCCAACUCCUGCAUUGAAAGGAUGUAAGUCGCCAUCCAACGAUUGAAACACGCAUGAGCAUGUAAUAUCGGAAACAAAUUUUCUCUCCGAUAGAUGGUUAUAUAUCGACGUGUAGAUUUUGGUAAAAAAAACCAAGUACUAGAUUUUGGUAAGCUUAUACUACCGAUCUUUUGGUAAGGUGGACGUGUCAAAAUCAUAUAUUAAUCCCAGCUUUGUGAGUGCAUGCAAAUUCUUGUCAUCUCAACUAAAUCUGGGUGGCCAAGUUUCCAUAGAAAGGUUCGAGCUUUUCAGCCAUACACUAGGUGUGAGACACCCAAAUUUUACGACCAUGUGAUUUAUUCAGGCAAGCAACGGCAGACACAGUUGAGACACUUUCUUAUAAAUUUCGUUUCUCUCAAUUGCUCGUUUCUCCUCCGCAGCUCAGAGCAUCCCGAUGGCCGGUGGUGUUCAUGGCCGAUUGAUGGAGCGAGCCUUCCUCUACAGAAUUGAGCGCAAGUUCCUGAUCAUAGUAGAGACUUUUGAAAACAUUAUAUUCCCUACCUGCACAUUAUUUGAAGCAUAAUUGUAAUGUGUAUAUUUAUUGUUUUUGAGAUAGCUCACCAUCCAUGCCGAAUGGUGAGUAAUGUGUAUAUUUAGUGAAUGCUUUUGGAAACAUUAUAUUUGUUGCCUGCCCAUAUGUGUACUACUGCUUUGGUCUUUUCCAAAUGGAUGGUUGGAUGUUAUAUAUUUCUUUAACUAUCAGAUUUGUAUUAUUUAAUUGUUAUAGUAUACUAUCCAAAGCUUUCACUUAUGCCUUGAGGAAAAGCACUCUGAAAGUUGAUUAAAAACACUCUGGAACUUGAUAAAAAACACUCUGAAAUAUUCUUUGCAUUUGAAAUAUGUAUACAUAUAUUUCUAUGCAAAUUGAGCCCAUUAAUACGGAUGUUAAUUACGUCGAGAUUACUUGCAGGUCGAUGGCGGCAGGUGAGGAGACGUGGAUGCCCCUGCAUAGCGCGGCGUCGGUGUAGUGCCUAGGAUCCUUCAUCACCUAAGGUAAACUUGUGUUUGACCUCUCUUCUUAUAUUCCCCUCAUGUUCUGCAGGUUGUAUAUGUGAAUGGUUGUGCAUAGUAAAUUUUGGUGAUUUAUUUUGCACUAUGAGGUUUCUUGACAGCAUUUGCAUAUCUUUCUUCAAUCUAGCAUCAAAGUAUUGAGGUAACUUUCUUAUCAUUCAGGUUCAUGGGGUCAGGUUAACGAGUUCACAGAACAUGUGGUGAUUGAAGUCCUAAUACCUAGAUUGUAAGAUACUUUGGUCUCCAACCUGAAUUUGAUUUAUAUUGUUGCACAUGUUUUCGAGUUUCUCAGCCCUGAAUUAGAGAGGACAUCAUUGAUAAGUGUUCCACCUACAGGGAUAUCCUUGAUUUUCAAGCAGAUAAAAAGAUUUUGGUAAACAUAUAUUAGUUCUUUUUUAAAAUAACAAACAUGCAACUUGGUGUAAAUCUUAUUUAUGUACAGAACCAAAGUUCUCAGAGCAAAAAAGACCAAAUUCUAAUAAUAUAUUUUAAAUUCAUUUUGGUUUGAUUAUACAGCUUCCAAAACAUGGCAAGAACAAACAUUCUCCUAUGACCAUAUGCUUGUUUUGUUUUCAAAGAUGAGUAAAUAUAUACUAUUUUUAGCUGAGUACGAGGGUGAAUUGGUUACUACAAAAGAGUUAGACAUAUCAAUUACAUCAAGACAGAGUAACUGCCACUAAUCAGAAUGUUACAUUGCAUUCUUUUGUUUCUCCAAAGAUGUCACCAUAAGUGUGUGUAUAGAAAGAACUUUAUUAUGCAAAAUUCACAAGAUAAACCUGUAUUUAGUUCAUGACAAACAUCUCUCUAAUGUUAUCUCUGAUUUCUUCUAUGACGUUAUUGUUUGUUAUCCCCGGGCUUGUGUAAGCUCUUUGUUUUAUUGGUGUCCAUCAAAAGUAUUCUUAUUCUAUGAUUGCUUCUUGAGACCACAAAUGAAGCUGGUGCACUCCGGGAGGUGAAGAUAAACUUGAGAAGAAGUUGGAUGAUCUUACUUCAAGACUUACUUUGGAAAGGAGAAUGAGGGUAUGUUUUUCUCUACCUUCAUUCCUUUUGUGUUUAAUGUGAACCCUUUAUUUUGCAUGUUCUACCCUUCAUGCCGUAGAGUUGAGACAGUUAUGCUUGUUCGUGCCUGUCGGUGAAUACUCACAACAUAUGCCAUAGGUAGGCUAAAGUCGGUGAGAACCGAAGGGACAAAGGUGGACGUUGGGAACGAGGUUGGUACACGCACGGAACGCACGAUGUACACAGGUUCAGGGCUCUUCGUAGAGAUAAUACCCCUAGUCCUGCCGGAGUGUUUGAUGUGUAUGAACAGAGUACAGAGUUGCUCCUGGAGCUGUGUUGGGAGGAGGAAGAGGGGAGCAGCCGGCUCGUCUGUGCCUUGAUACGUCUCCAUCGUAUCUACUUUUCCAAACUCUUUCGCCCUUGUUUUGGACUCUAAUUUACAUAAUUUGAACGAAACUAACCUGGACUGACGUUGUUUUCAGCAGAAUUGCCUUGGUGUUAUUUUUGUGCAGAAAUCAAAGUUCUCCAAACGACGUGAAAAUUUACGGGGAGCAUUUUUGGAAAAAUGAAAAAUACCUGCGCAAAGAUCCACCUGAGGGGGUGGGCUAGUGGGCCACAAACCCUGCCACCGCCACCCCCCUAGUGGCGGUGGGCAAGCUUGUGGGGCCCACACGGCUCUGCCGCCCCCAAUCUCAGGUCUAUAAGUUCACUUUCGUCCCAUAAAAAAUAAAAAAUAGAAGAUUUCAUCGCGUUUACGAUACGGAGGCGCCGCCACAACCUGUUCUUCAUCUGGAGGGCAGAUCUGGAGUCUGUUUUGGGCUCCGGAGAGGGGAAAUCGUCGCCAUCGUCAUCAUCAACCUUCUUCCCUCUCCAAUUCCAUGAAGCUCUUCAUCGUUCGUGAGUAAUCUAUUCGUAGGCUCGCUGGGCGGUGAUGAGUAGGAUGAGAUCUAUCAUGUAAUCGAGUUAGUUUUGAUGGGGAUUGAUCCCUAGUAUCCACUAUGUUCUGAGAUUGAUGUUGCUACUACUUUGCCAUGCUUAAUGCUUGUCACUAGGGCCUGAGUGCCAUGAUUUCAGAUCUGAAAUUAUUAUGUUGUCACCAAUAUAUGUGUGUUUUAGGUCCGAUCUUGCAAGUUGUAGUUACCUACUAUGUGUUAUGAUCCGGCAACCCCGGAGUGACAAUAACCGGAACCACUCCCGGUGAUGAACAUAGUUUGAGGAGUCCAUGUGUUCCCCAAGUGCUAAUGCGUUGGUCCGGUUCUUUAUUAAAAGGAGAACCUUAAUAUCCCGUAGUUUCCUUUUGGACCCCGCUGCCACGGGAGGGAUGGACAAUAGAUGUCAUGCAAGUUNNNNNNNNNNNNNNNNNNNNNNNNNNNNNNNNNNNNNNNNNNNNNNNNNNNNNNNNNNNNNNNNNNNNNNNNNNNNNNNNNNNNNNNNNNNNNNNNNNNNACACACAAGCCUUGCAAGCAAUGUGACUUAGUGUAAGUUGCGGGAUCUUGUAUUACGGAACGAGUAAAGAGACUUGUCGGUAAACGAGAUUGAAAUAGGUAUGCGGAUAGUGACGAUCGAAUCUUGGGCAAGUAACAUAUCGAAGGACAAAGGGAAUGACAUACGGGAUUAUAGAAUCCUUGGCACUGAGGUUCAAACGAUAAGAUCUUCGUAGAAUAUGUGGAUCCAAUAUGGGCAUCCAAGUCCCGCUAUUGGAUAUUGACCGAGGAGUCACUCGGGUCAUGUCUGCAUAGUUCUCGAUCCCGCAGGGUCUGCACACUUAAGGUUCGACGUUGUUUUAUGCGUAUUUGAGUUAUAUGGUUGGUUACCGAAUGUUGUUCGGAGUCCCGAAUGAGAUCACGGACGUCACGAGGGUUUCCGGAAUGGUCCGGAAACGAAGAUUGAUAUAUAGGAUGACCUCAU